UGCAGUCGAACGGGCUCUUCGGAGCUAGUGGCGGACGGGUGAGUAACACGUGAGAAUCUGGCUCCCGGUCGGGGACAACAGAGGGAAACUUCUGCUAAUCCCGGAUGAGCCGAAAGGUAAAAGAUUUAUCGCCGGGAGAUGAGCUCGCGUCUGAUUAGCUAGUUGGUGAGGUAAAGGCUCACCAAGGCGACGAUCAGUAGCUGGUCUGAGAGGAUGAUCAGCCACACUGGGACUGAGACACGGCCCAGACUCCUACGGGAGGCAGCAGUGGGGAAUUUUCCGCAAUGGGCGCAAGCCUGACGGAGCAAGACCGCGUGGGGGAGGAAGGCUCUUGGGUUGUAAACCCCUUUUCUCAAGGAAGAACACAAUGACGGUACUUGAGGAAUAAGCCUCGGCUAACUCCGUGCCAGA
rnacentral:rRNA from 1 species